GACGACUUAGGGUUACUUUAGCCCAAUCUACUUUCUUGAAUACUACUAGGCAAUACUGAAGUUGCCUUGAAAAGUAGUAUUAAUUUGAUAGCUUCAAGGACAGCUUAUCAAAUUUGGUGCCGUUGCCGGGGAACUACGGUAAGUAUUUUGAAUAUUUUGAUUCUCAUUUUUAUUUUUAUUUUUUUUCAUUUGUUUUUUUUUCCUAACGCAUAUACAUUUAAUUUAGUUUGAGUUAUUUUGUAGCAUUUAGUUAUUCUUCAGAAAAACUCUUUGUUCUUGCUUUAAUCUUGAGAAACACUUAAAGCUAGUUUGAAUAUACUCUGGCUAGGAAAGACNUGGUACUUAAGUUGUCCAUUGUGACGCACCUCUCUUUCCUGGGAGUGGACCCAA
rnacentral:lncRNA from 1 species